GGGCCUGCAUGCCGUUGGCGGCGAACUGGGUUUGCAACCCGGUUGGUUGGGUUCGACUCCCAACAGGUCCAC
rnacentral:tRNA from 1 species